rnacentral:snoRNA from 1 species
UUACCCACCUCACCAACUUAAGACACACAGAGGCUACUUUAAAAGGCUAACAUAGAAGGGUAAAGGAACUCUCUAUAAAACCCAGAGGGAAAAACUACACCUUCUCUUUGGAUCCUGUCUGGAGUCACAGAU